UGGGGUGUGACUUGCACCGUACCCAACCCCACCCAAAACUAAUAUACUUAUAUACCCAACCCCACCCACCCCACCCUAAUAAUUAAUUUCUCAACUCUAACCAACCCGCACCACUUAAAUAGGUAACCCAUAGCUAAUCCAUGGAUACUACUAAAUUUUAGAACCGUACACAAGGGCACUUGCAUACAAGAGUGACAUUACAAGGCAGGAAGGGCCCUUGCAUACAAGCAAGGCAUACCGGGUCACUCGUUUCAGUUUAUAUAACCAACACUGAUCAUGCCACACAUUGCCAGCCACACAUUACAACCCACCAGAUGACCAGUAUAAACUCUGAGACAAUUAUUACAACAACUGAAAAAUGCAUGCUCUCCCUUACCAAAAUAUAAAACCAAACUUAAUCAAACCAAUGCCCUGCAACGCUUAUCACCUUCAUGCAACAUUCCUCAGCACUCCCAACCUGCAAGUAUUAUUGUGAACAAGCACACUUUCGUUCAUUGCCUAAGCUAUGUUUAACUGACACUAGUAAGAAAAAUAGAGAAAAACGAUCAUGUUAUUUUAUCUUUAGGAGUCAUCUCAGCUUCUCAUGACUUGCUCUUGGACUACACACACAAAGAUUAUUAUGUCAGGUGGCUGUAGAUGCAAAGGUACAACAGAAAUUACUCUUCAAGAGUUUGUACAGGGCUUCAAGAGUUUGUGGUGUCAUCGAGCUUCGAUUGUCAUAAGAAUCCGAUCACCCAAGCUGAAUGCAGAUUCAGAAGAGACGGUGCUGAGUGGAAUAGCCAGAACAACGCGUGCCAUAGCUGACAGCACGGGGUGCUUGUUGGAGUUUGUCUUCCACCAAGAUAAGAUUUCAAAAUUUUCAUUUCUCUCACUGGUUCUUCUUCCAAAUAGGUAUUAAGUUCUGAUUUUUCAACCCAGCUCCCUCUUUUCUGAGAUCUAAACUGAUCAAAUUUUCGGUGGAUUUUUCUCUUAUCUUGCAUUAGCACUGGUGAACGGCUCACCAUGCUGUUAGACACAUCAACUUGAGGUACUGCAUUUGUACUAUUUCUUCUUAUAACCUCUUGAUACUUUCUAAAGUA